UCUUCCGCAUUUGAACACGUUCCUAUACUCGCGCAGUAUGAUCUGCAUCACAAGUCAACAUUUUAGCCUCAAUCGGAUCCUGCUACUCGCAAUCGGCUUAUGGCCCUAUCAAAAAUCAAAAUUAGUUUGGCUUCAAGAAAUCUUAUUUUUUUGUAUUCUAUUAAGCUUUGUUAUAUUCCAGCUCACAGCAUUUAUAACUACAAAAUGUACUGUUGAUUUAAUUAUUAAAGUUCUCUCUACUGCAAUAGUCUUUAAUUUCUAUGUAAUUAUAUACAACAUGUUCUGGAUUAACAUUCAUCAUGUGAAAAAUUUAUUGGAACAAC